rnacentral:lncRNA from 1 species
UAUUCUUCAGAGGCUAUAUUUUCCUUUCAAAUUAUUCUUGAGUGAAUUAUCAUUUUGAAAUGGAAAUUACAGUGCAUUUUAAUUUGUAUGGAAAAUUUCUUUGCAUUCUUAAGAUGAGGGAAGUUCGGCAGCUCUUCUUGUUGGAAGUGGGUGAGUCCCUCUGUUUUCUGUCGUUCUCUGGUUUUUCGUAGGAAUUAGGAAUUGGAAUCUUUGUUGCUUAGGAGAAGAGAGGCUGCCGUUUUUGUGUAGUCUUCUGAUGCUGGUAGCUUGCUAGGUCUCUAGGCGUGUUAUCGCUUGAAAUGAAAAUUGAGAGGGCUGAAGGGUUUUUCCUCUGUUUUGGUGUUCCUAGAAGAAGAAGAUGAAAGGGGAGGGAUGUCUA